rnacentral:lncRNA from 1 species
AUUCUGAGACUUGACAUCGAACAACGACCCGAAAUAGAGCAGAUUGAGUAGAUCCUCAACGGCAUGAUCUGGCUCAUUAGGCUGUUGUUCUAGGACUUCAGCCUUGUCCCGUUGGGCUUCUGAGGUUGUUUCUUCCGAUGAAACGGUUUGACGCCGCAAGGCAAGUGAGAUUUCUUCGGAGAUGGCUAGAGAGAGAGGCUGGCGAAGCUUCUCAAGUUCAUCGAUGAGGGCGGAGACGGCGGGUUUGGAACGGAGGACUUCUUCUUGUUCUUUGUUCAAGAGUUUGCCUUGGGAGACUAGGACUUCAGCCUUGUCCCGUUGGGCUUCUGAGGUUGUUUCUUCCGAUGAAACGGUUUGACGCCGCAAGGCAAGUGAGAUUUCUUCGGAGAUGGCUGAAGAGAGAGGCUGGCGAAGCUUCUCAAGUUCAUCGAUGAGGGCGGAGACGGCGGGUUUGG